rnacentral:rRNA from 1 species
GACGAACGCUGGCGGCGUGCUUAACACAUGCAAGUCGAACGGAAAGGCCCUGCUUUUGUGGGGUGCUCGAGUGGCGAACGGGUGAGUAACACGUGAGUAACCUGCCCUUGACUUUGGGAUAACUUCAGGAAACUGGGGCUAAUACCGGAUAGGAGCUCCUGCUGCAUGGUGGGGGUUGGAAAGUUUCGGCGGUUGGGGAUGGACUCGCGGCUUAUCAGCUUGUUGGUGGGGUAGUGGCUUACCAAGGCUUUGACGGGUAGCCGGCCUGAGAGGGUGACCGGCCACAUUGGGACUGAGAUACGGCCCAGACUCCUACGGGAGGCAGCAGGGGGGAAUAUUGCACAAUGGGCGGAAGCCUGAUGCAGCAACGCCGCGUGCGGGAUGACGGCUUUCGGGUUGUAAACCGAUUUCGCCUGUGACGAAGCGUGAGUGACGGUAAUGGGUAAAGAAGCACCGGCUAACUACGUG